UUUAAAAAAAAAAAAAUCACUACAAUAAUAGAGAAAAUAACAAACGAACUUCUUUUUCGCGUCAAAUCACGGCGAAUCACACUUGACGUCACAGGCUGCAUUACGUCAUUUGAAAUUUUGUCACAGUGCAGUAAACAUGGCGUUCUCUUGCACAAAGUAUUGAAAAGGAAUUAUUGCAUGCGUUUCAUUAAUAUUCUGCUUUGGACAUGACACUAACAAUGGCAAAUAUAAUGGAAGCAUAC
rnacentral:lncRNA from 1 species